rnacentral:misc_RNA from 1 species
GAUGAAGAACGUAGUGAAAUGCGAUACGUAAUGUGAAUUGCAGAAUUCAGUGAAUCAUCGAAUCUUUGAACGCAUAUUGCGCUCUCUGGUAUUCCGGAGAGCAUGCUUGUUUGAGUAUCAGUAAACACCUCAACUCCCUUUUCUUUUUUGAAAUGGGAGCUGGACUUGAGUGAUCCCAACACUUUUCUCACUGGAAAGUGGCGGGUCACUUGAAAUGCAGGUGCAGCUGGACUUUUCUCUGAGCUAUAAGCAUAUCUAUUUAGUCUGCCUAAAAAACAGAUUAUUACCUUUGCUACAGCUAACAUAAAGGAGAUGAGUUCUUGUGCUGACUGAUGCAGGAUUCACAGAGACAGCUUUGCGGCUGACUUUGUAAACUCGAUCUCAAAUCAAGUAAGACUACCCGCUGAACUUAAGCAUAUCAAUAAGCGGAGGA